GGACCCGCACAAGUAGUGGAGCAUGUGGUUUAAUUCGAAGAUACGCGCAGAACCUUACCAACACUUGACAUGUUCGUCGCGACUUUAAGAGAUUAAAGUUUUCGGUUCGGCCGGACGAAACACAGGUGCUGCAUGGCUGUCGUCAGCUCGUGUCGUGAGAUGUUGGGUUAAGUCCCGCAACGAGCGCAACCCUCACUUUUAGUUGCCAUCAUUUAGUUGGGCACUCUGAAAGAACUGCCAGUGAUAAGCUGGAGGAAGGUGGGGAUGACGUCAAGUCCUCAUGGCCCUUACGUGUUGGGCUACACACGUGCUACAAUGGUAUCUACAACAGGAAGCAAAACGGCGACGUUAAGCAAAUCCUUAAAAGAUACCUCAGUUCGGAUUGCACUCUGCAACUCGAGUGCAUGAAGUUGGAAUCGCUAGUAAUCG
rnacentral:rRNA from 1 species